CGUGUGUGUGUGUCUUGUGUAAGCAGAAAGACGCAAAGAAUUAUUGUGAAAUAGCAAUUAUUCGAAGGGUUCAGGCGAUUUCGUAGCCGAGCAGUCUCGACUAGAGUUUU